ensembl:lncRNA
ACUCAAGAGGUGCUCCUGAUCCACUGUGUGCCUGACACAGUCGCCCCAAACAUGUUAGAGGUCACCUGCCUGUUUGUGUGUUGCAUGAUGGUAGCCAUUCCUCUGGCAGCCAGUCUGUUCACAGCUAUCACAACAUGGCAGCGGAGCAGAGAGGUCAGCCCAGCAGAACAGUCAUCCAGUUUAAAGACUGGCCUAGGCCUUUAUGGAACCAUGACAAGUUCCACAAACAGUUCCAGUGGUCCAAAUACACACACAUUUCCUCUACAAAGUGGGUCCCUCAUAGAGGCCUUUUCCCUACAGACAACGACCC